rnacentral:rRNA from 1 species
UNUGGCUUAACUGGGGGCUUGCGGUGGGUACGGGCCGGCUUGAGUGCGGUAGGGGAGACUGGAACUCCUGGUGUAGCGGUGGAAUGCGCAGAUAUCAGGAAGAACACCGGUGGCGAAGGCGGGUCUCUGGGCCGUUACUGACGCUGAGGAGCGAAAGCGUGGGGAGCGAACAGGAUUAGAUACCCUGGUAGUCCACGCCGUAAACGUUGGGCACUAGGUGUGGGGGGCCUUUUCCGGGUCUUCCGCGCCGUAGCUAACGCAUUAAGUGCCCCGCCUGGGGAGUACGGCCGCAAGGCUAAAACUCAAAGGAAUUGACGGGGGCCCGCACAAGCGGCGGAGCAUGCGGAUUAAUUCGAUGCAACGCGAAGAACCUUACCAAGGCUUGACAUGUGCCGGUCGGCUCCGGAGACGGGGCUUCCUCCUUGUGGGGCCGGUUCACAGGUGGUGCAUGGUUGUCGUCAGCUCGUGUCGUGAGAUGUUGGGUUAAGUCCCGCAACGAGCGCAACCCUUGUCCCGUGUUGCCAGCACGUUGUGGUGGGGACUCGCGGGAGACUGCCGGGGUCAACUCGGAGGAAGGUGGGGAUGACGUCAAAUCAUCAUGCCCCUUAUGUCUUGGGCUUCACGCAUGCUACAAUGGCCGGUACAGAGGGCUGCGAUACCGUGAGGUGGAGCGAAUCCCUUAAAGCCGGUCUCAGUUCGGAUCGGUGUCUGCAACUCGACACCGUGAAGUUGGAGUCGCUAGUAAUCGCAGAUCAGCAACGCUGCGGUGAAUACGUUCUCGGGCCUUGUACACACCGCCCGUCACGUCAUGAAAGUCGGCAACACCCGAAGCCCGUGGCCCUACGGGGAGCGGUC